rnacentral:rRNA from 1 species
AGUGAACGCUGGCGGUAGGCCUAACACAUGCAAGUCGAACGGCAGCACAGUAAGAGCUUGCUCUUACGGGUGGCGAGUGGCGGACGGGUGAGGAAUACAUCGGAAUCUACUUUUUCGUGGGGGAUAACGUAGGGACACUUACGCUAAUACCGCAUACGACCUACGGGUGAAAGCAGGGGAUCUUCGGACCUUGCGCGAUUGAAUGAGCCGAGGUCGGAUUAGCUAGUUGGCGGGGUAAAGGCCCACCAAGGCGACGAUCCGUAGCUGGUCUGAGAGGAUGAUCAGCCACACUGGAACUGAGACACGGUCCAGACUCCUACGGGAGGCAGCAGUGGGGAAUAUUGGACAAUGGGCGCAAGCCUGAUCCAGCCAUACCGCGUGUGUGAAGAAGGCCUUCGGGUUGUAAAGCCCUUUUGUUGGGAAAGAAAAGCAGCAGGUUAAUACCCCGCUGUUCUGACGGUACCCAAAGAAUAAGCACCGGCUAACUUCGUG